GUAAGUUGUACUCGAGGCAGUUAUGUUUGUUGUUAUCAUCCAAGAACUUGUAACCUGUCUUUAUCAUGUCAUGAACAUCUCAUUGAUCAUGCAUAUGCACCUCUACGUGUAGACUACGCUCCGGAGGAAUCUAAUCCUCAGUGGGUUGCUUCCGAGUUUGUGGAUCCAUCUGGUUUUGCUGAGUUGUCGGACUUCCCUUCCGGUCAAGGCAAGCCCCGGACAUUAAACCCUAUCCUUGUAUUUUCAUAAAGUCAUUUAUAUCACUUGAGUUAAUAUGAUGCAUUAGGUGAAUAGGAGUUGAGUGAAUCCUAUUUGCUGCAUUACCUACCUUGGUGAUUCUUAUAUUAACCUUGACACCUGUUUAUGAAAAUGCUUAGUAUGCUUAGCCCUGCUUAGUAGAUAGGUUUUCAAAUGAGAAAGUUUGAAGGGUUGUUGUGGAAUACUUUUAUGGUCAAUAAUGUUUCAACUUGAGACCGGUCGGUGGACUUGCUUUAAGAAUGGAGUCUUAAAGUAGUGUCUCCAACUGUGUCGAUUAAGGACCGUACCGUUGUUGGCCUGUUGUGAUUGAGAACUUUGAGUACAGCCCACAUGCGGCGGUAAGCCUUACCUAUAGCUAUUCCGAUACUUGAGAACGGCUAACCGCGUACUGGGAGUGGAGAGAUGGCGAGAGUAGCGUGUACCCACCUUACGGAUCUGAGAUGACCGGGAAACAUCUAGAUUGGCUGUAGGAUGGUGGUGUACUGUACUCUCGGGUGACGCUGGACCCGUUCUUGUAUGGGAGGAUCUAUAGAAACAGGUUGACAUAUGCAAGAUUAAGUUCUACAUAUGUCGUGUGGUACUGAAUCCCCAGCUGGGUUUAAUCGAUUCGAAUCGCCGUGUUUCCUCGGAUAUGGAGCCUCAAUCCUCACCCCAUCAUCGUAGUGAUAAAUAAACUUUGGUAUAAGAAAGAGGUGGUUUGCUUAUGAAAGUUUGAUAAUAGUUUUGGUUAGUCAUAAAUGAUGAUCUUGAGUUAAAACUUGAAAGUAGGUUUUACUCUUAGUAAGCUUUUAUGCAAAAGAAAUGCUUUAUCUUGAUAAAGCUUUACCUUGAAUCCCUAUAGCCUGCAUACCUGAGUCUUCACCUCUUUUCUAGUCGGUUAAGUCUUGUUGAGUACUUUUGUACUCAGGGUUUUAUAACCCCUGUUGCAGGUGCUGACUUAGACUGCUAAUGGAGGUCAUGUCGGUGGGCGCGACAUGAUUUAUCC
rnacentral:lncRNA from 1 species